AGGCUGGAGAACCAUGCCAUGGAUCAAGAGCAGUCCUGGGUAACAACUUGUAUCUAGGCUGGGCUGGCCUUGAACUGGCUCAUGGAACUGAGCUAUGGCUCCAGGCUGACAGAACCAAGAGAAGGAGGUUCUCCAUGAUAAACCGAUUUCAUGGGCUUCGGUGCCUGGCUACCGGUGUCUAACGUCUGUAGCCAAAGCUGGGCAUAUGGUGGAUGCCUUGG